rnacentral:rRNA from 1 species
UUAGCGGCGGACGGGUGAGUAACACGUGGAUAACCUACCUAUAAGACUGGGAUAACUUCGGGAAACCGGAGCUAAUACCGGAUAAUAUUUUGAACCGCAUGGUUCAAAAGUGAAAGACGGUCUUGCUGUCACUUAUAGAUGGAUCCGCGCUGCAUUAGCUAGUUGGUAAGGUAACGGCUUACCAAGGCAACGAUGCAUAGCCGACCUGAGAGGGUGAUCGGCCACACUGGAACUGAGACACGGUCCAGACUCCUACGGGAGGCAGCAGUAGGGAAUCUUCCGCAAUGGGCGAAAGCCUGACGGAGCAACGCCGCGUGAGUGAUGAAGGUCUUCGGAUCGUAAAACUCUGUUAUUAGGGAAGAACAUAUGUGUAAGUAACUGUGCACAUCUUGACGGUACCUAAUCAGAAAGCCACGGCUAACUACGUGCCAGCAGCCGCGGUAAUACGUAGGUGGCAAGCGUUAUCCGGAAUUAUUGGGCGUAAAGCGCGCGUAGGCGGUUUUUUAAGUCUGAUGUGAAAGCCCACGGCUCAACCGUGGAGGGUCAUUGGAAACUGGAAAACUUGAGUGCAGAAGAGGAAAGUGGAAUUCCAUGUGUAGCGGUGAAAUGCGCAGAGAUAUGGAGGAACACCAGUGGCGAAGGCGACUUUCUGGUCUGUAACUGACGCUGAUGUGCGAAAGCGUGGGGAUCAAACAGGAUUAGAUACCCUGGUAGUCCACGCCGUAAACGAUGAGUGCUAAGUGUUAGGGGGUUUCCGCCCCUUAGUGCUGCAGCUAACGCAUUAAGCACUCCGCCUGGGGAGUACGACCGCAAGGUUGAAACUCAAAGGAAUUGACGGGGACCCGCACAAGCGGUGGAGCAUGUGGUUUAAUUCGAAGCAACGCGAAGAACCUUACCAAAUCUUGACAUCCUUUGACAACUCUAGAGA